rnacentral:rRNA from 1 species
AAUCAACGCUGGCGGCGUGCCUAACACAUGCAAGUCGAACGAGAAAGUGACUUCGGUCACUGGACAGUGGCGUCCGGGUGAGUAACACGUGGGUAAUCUACCUUCGGGUGGGGAAUAACGUCUCGAAAGAGACGCUAAUACCGCAUAAUGCAGCGGCACCUUAUGGUGAAUAGUUGUUAAAGCGGGGGAUCGCAAGACCUCGCGCCUGAAGAGGAGCCUGCGGCAGAUUAGCUAGUUGGUGAGGUAAUGGCUCACCAAGGCUGCGAUCUGUAGCUGGUCUGAGAGGACGGCCAGCCACACUGGCACUGACACACGGGCCAGACUCCUACGGGAGGCAGCAGCGGGAAUUUUGGGCAAUGGGCGCAAGCCUGACCCAGCAACGCCGCGUGAGGGAGG